rnacentral:rRNA from 1 species
CCUACGGGUGGCAGCGACGCCGCGUGAGUGAAGAAGUAUUUCGGUAUGUAAAGCUCUAUCAGCAGGGAAGAAAAUGACGGUACCUGACUAAGAAGCCCCGGCUAACUACGUGCCAGCAGCCGCGGUAAUACGGAGGAUGCGAGCGUUAUCCGGAUUUAUUGGGUUUAAGGGGUGCGCAGGCGGAAGAUCAAGUCAGCGGUAAAAUUGAGAGGCUCAACCUCUUCGAGCCAUUGAAACUGGUUUUCUUGAGUGAGCGAGAAGUAUGCGGAAUGCGUGGUGUAGCGGUGAAAUGCAUAGAUAUCACGCAGAACUCCGAUUGCGAAGGCAGCAUACCGGAGCUCAACUGACGCUCAUGCACGAAAGUGUGGGUAUCGAACAGGAUUAGAUACCCGGGUAGUC